CCCAGCCGCUCGUCCCACUCGACCAUAUUCUAGUACACACUAACUAGAACUGUACCGCCGCCGUGUCGGCGCCGCGCCAGCCCGCUCCCUGAAGUUCCGUUUUCUGCUGUUAUCGGGAAGCGCGCGUUGACCGGCGUGGGCCGUUUCGUGGCCUCGCUCGCUGUGUGCUUGCGCGCCGCGAUGUUUCACGACUGGCACCGUUCGUGCAUCGUGCUGUGGUUGCACCAAUACUUCAAAAACAGGUCCGGCAAGGUUCUUCCGGUUCCCUAAAGACAACGGCUCCCAACGCGCAUGAAAAGAAGCGAAGAUGGACUGCCACCGUGCGGCGUCGUUCCGUGAUCGGUGACUUCGGUCCAGCGUUUGGCGACGCAGCAGCUCGAUUACGUGAGUGCAUGGAGUACAUCGUGGGAGACACCGUAGUGCCCCAAACCCAUACGGCUGUGCUACAAUUGACGAUGUCGCCUCAUCCUUCGCCGCGCGCGUAAGCUGGUGGCAAGUGUGCUGCUGCAAGUGUGAUGUUAUCGUUGUUUCGAUCGAAGUAAGACGAAGUGCGCGGUGCAUAUGCGUGUUCGGCCUCGCACAGGUUGCCACAACUCUUCCUCGGGCCUAAAAGAAAAAGCAAGGGUGUCAUACUGCUAGGCGUUGCUGUUCCCGCGCCCGGCAUGAACAUGCUUUUCGGUGGGCGAGUGGCGGGGGCAGCGCCUCCCCAUCUCUGGAUGCAACCGCCAAUUUUAGACCCGGAGCAGCUGACCGGCUGGCAACAUCUAUGUGAUACCGGGACCGGCAUCGCUAUCUGUAAUGAGCGCGCCCGAUAUAAGCUGCUGCCCACCGACUGCGUGCUGGGGCACUACACCGCGACUAGAAUGGAGCAUUCACCAUUGGUGUUCUUUCAGUAGGUCCAGGGGCUGCAGGCCGUCCAAGGACCAGAAGCAACCACAUGGUCGGAGCCGAUCUGGGAGCCGCAGCUAGACGCAGCAGAAACCGCUACCGAAAGACUCUUGCCUUGGGCCGCAUGGACAAAAACGCCCAACCAGCUUACCAGGAAGCUGAC